rnacentral:rRNA from 1 species
UGCAGUCGAACGACAUAGUGGCAGACGGGUGAGUAACGCGUGGAAACAUGCCCUUCACUACGGAAUAGCUUUUGGAAACGAAAGGUAAUACCGUAUACGCCCUCCGGGGGAAAGAUUUAUCGGUGAAGGAUUGGUCCGCGUUAGAUUAGCUAGUUGGUGGGGUAAUGCCCCACCAAGGCGACGAUCUAUAGCUGGUCUGAGAGGAUGAUCAGCCACACUGGGACUGAGACACGGCCCAGACUCCUACGGGAGGCAGCAGUGGGGAAUAUUGGACAAUGGGCGCAAGCCUGAUCCAGCCAUGCCGCGUGAAUGAUGAAGGCCUUAGGGUUGUAAAAUUCUUUCGCCAGGGAUGAUAAUGACAGUACCUGGUAAAGAAGCCCCGGCUAACUUCGUGCCAGCAGCCGCGGUAAUACGAAGGGGGCUAGCGUUGUUCGGAAUUACUGGGCGUAAAGCGCGCGUAGGCGGACUUUUAAGUCAGGUGUGAAAUCCCGAGGCUCAACCUCGGCACUGCAUUUGAAACUGGGAGUCUAGAGUUCAGGAGAGGUUAGCGGAAUACCGAGUGUAGAGGUGAAAUUCGUAGAUAUUCGGUGGAACACCAGUGGCGAAGGCGGCUAACUGGACUGAUACUGACGCUGAGGUGCGAAAGUGUGGGGAGCAAACAGGAUUAGAUACCCUGGUAGUCCACACCGUAAACGAUGAGUGCUAGUUGUCUGCAGGCAUGCCUGUAGGUGACGCAGCUACGCAUUAAGCACUCCGCCUGGGGAGUACGGCCGCAAGGUUAAAACUCAAAGAAAUUGACGGGGGCCCGCACAAGCGGUGGAGCAUGUGGUUUAAUUCGAAGCAACGCGCAGAACCUUACCUACCCUUGACAUGCCCGGCUACAUCCAGAGAUGGAUGGUUCCUUCGGGACCGGUGCACAGGUGCUGCAUGGCUGUCGUCAGCUCGUGUCGUGA